AGAGUUUGAUCAUGGCUCAGAGCGAACGCUGGCGGCGUGCUUAACACAUGCAAGUCGAACGCGCAGUCUUCUGUAGCAAUACAGGAGGUGGGCGCGUGGCGAACGGGUGCGUAACACGUGGAUAACCUUCCUUCAGGUGGGGAAUAACCCCGCGAAAGCGGGGCUAAUACCGCAUAACAUGACGAUGGCACAUGCUGUUGUCUUCAAAGCCGCAAGGCGCCAGAAGAGGGAUCCGCGGCCGAUUAGCUUGUUGGCGAGGUAAUGGCUCACCAAGGCAUUGAUCGGUAGCCGGACUGAGAGGUUGGCCGGCCACACUGGAACUGAGACACGGUCCAGACUCCUACGGGAGGCAGCAGUGGGGAAUCUUGCGCAAUGGGCGAAAGCCUGACGCAGCAACGCCGCGUGGGGGAUGAAGCUUCUCGGAGUGUAAACCCCUUUCGACCCGGACGAAUGCCCGCAAGGGCUUGACGGUACGGGUAUAAGAAGCCCCGGCUAACUACGUGCCAGCAGCCGCGGUAAAACGUAGGGGGCCAGCGUUGCUCGGAAUUACUGGGCGUAAAGGGUCCGUAGGCGGUGUGGCAAGUCGGAAGUGAAAUCUCUGGGCUUAACUCAGAGGCUGCUUCCGAAACUGCUGUGCUAGAGUGCGAGAGAGGCGAGUGGAAUUGCGGGUGUAGCGGUGAAAUGCGUAGAUAUCCGCAGGAACAUCCGAGGCGAAAGCGGCUCGCUGGAUCGCAACUGACGCUGAGGGACGAAAGCUAGGGGAGCAAACAGGAUUAGAUACCCUGGUAGUCCUAGCCCUAAACCAUCAGGACUUGGGGUUUGCCCUGUACGGGGCAAGUCCCGUAGCUAACGCGUUAAGUCCUGCGCCUGGGGAGUACGGUCACAAGGCUGAAACUCAAAGGAAUUGACGGGGGCCCCGCACAAGCGGUGGAACAUGUGGUUCAAUUCGACGCAACGCGAAGAACCUUACCUGGGCUUGAACG
rnacentral:rRNA from 1 species